rnacentral:lncRNA from 1 species
AGCCAUACAUACUCAUUUAAGUCAUGCAAUGGCUUCAAAUUACAGAUCCAAGCUUCUAGGGCAUGCUUUUCACGUAAAGUUGUAGACUUUACGUGCAUGCAUGACUAAAAAGGCUCUUAAUGCCAAAUCUAAGCUCUUAAUGGGGUUUCAUGCACAAGGAGGGCCUCAUCCACAACCAAAAUAGAAACUUUAUGAUUCUAGAACUUGAGAAGGGUCCGGAUCUGAAGUCACAACUUCAGAUCUAGCCCAUAGCUCACCAAAUUGACUCCAAAAAUCCAUAAAACCCUAAAACUAAACCACAAAGAGAUCUAGAAGAGAAGGGGAGUAAAGAUUGCAACUUGAUACCUCCAAAAGAUGCUAGCUGAGGUAAGUUCUAUUUCCCACACCUUCCUUNCCUUGAUUCACCCUUUGCUCUUCAAGCUUCUCCCUCCUAGCCAACCUUCUUUCCAAGGCUUAAAACACACCAAAAAAAGAGUACCACACGAAUUAGGGUUUUAUUGAGCUCUCACAGACUGUAAAGAGGCCAAAGGAGGCUUAGGCCUCCUNAUUCAACCCCUUUGCUCUUCAAGCUUCUCCCUCCUAGCCAACCUUCUUUCCAAGGCUUAAAACACACCAAAAAAAGAGUACCACACGAAUUAGGGUUUUAUUGAGCUCUCACAGACUGUAAAGAGGCCAAAGGAGGCUUAGGCCUCCUUAAAUAGGGUGCAAAACCCCGAGAUUUAGGGUUUCCUCUACCAGCUCCUACUCGUCGAGUCCCUCCCUGGACUCGGCGAGUAGGUCACUAAACACGCGGUCCCACCCCGCUGCUACUCGACGAGUAGGGCAACCAACUCGUUGAGUAAGACUUAAAACCAAAGAACCUUUUAUUUAAAUCCAUACCUGAGAAUCGGGGCGUUACAUACUUAACUGCAAAAAUAUCAAAAAAAAAA